rnacentral:rRNA from 1 species
GGGUUGUGAGGUUAAGCGACUAAGCGUACACGGUGGAUGCCCUGGCAGUCAGAGGCGAUGAAGGACGUGCUAAUCUGCGAUAAGCGCCGGUAAGGUGAUAUGAACCGUUAUAACCGGCGAUACCCGAAUGGGGAAACCCAGUGUGAUUCGUCACACUAUCAUUAACUGAAUCCAUAGGUUAAUGAGGCGAACCGGGGGAACUGAAACAUCUAAGUACCCCGAGGAAAAGAAAUCAACCGAGAUUCCCCCAGUAGCGGCGAGCGAACGGGGAGGAGCCCAGAGCCUGAAUCAGCAUGUGUGUUAGUGGAAGCGUCUGGAAAGGCGCGCGAUACAGGGUGACAGCCCCGUACACAAAAGCGCAUGUGCUGUGAGCUCGAUGAGUAGGGCGGGACACGUGGUAUCCUGUCUGAAUAUGGGGGGACCAUCCUCCAAGGCUAAAUACUCCUGACUGACCGAUAGUGAACCAGUACCGUGAGGGAAAGGCGAAAAGAACCCCGGCGAGGGGAGUGAAAAAGAACCUGAAACCGUGUACGUACAAGCAGUGGGAGCACAGGUUUACCUGUGUGACUGCGUACCUUUUGUAUAAUGGGUCAGCGACUUAUAUUCUGUAGCAAGGUUAACCGAAUAGGGGAGCCGUAGGGAAACCGAGUCUUAACCGGGCGUUAAGUUGCAGGGUAUAGACCCGAAACCCGGUGAUCUAGCCAUGGGCAGGUUGAAGGUUGGGUAACACUAACUGGAGGACCGAACCGACUAAUGUUGAAAAAUUAGCGGAUGACCUGUGGCUGGGGGUGAAAGGCCAAUCAAACCGGGAGAUAGCUGGUUCUCCCCGAAAGCUAUUUAGGUAGCGCCUCGUGAAUUCAUCUCCGGGGGUAGAGCACUGUUUCGGCUAGGGGGCCAUCCCGGCUUACCAACCCGAUGCAAACUGCGAAUACCGGAGAAUGUUAUCACGGGAGACACACGGCGGGUGCUAACGUCCGUCGUGAAGAGGGAAACAACCCAGACCGCCAGCUAAGGUCCCAAAGUCAUGGUUAAGUGGGAAACGAUGUGGGAAGGCCCAGACAGCCAGGAUGUUGGCUUAGAAGCAGCCAUCAUUUAAAGAAAGCGUAAUAGCUCACUGGUCGAGUCGGCCUGCGCGGAAGAUGUAACGGGGCUAAACCAUGCACCGAAGCUGCGGCAGCGAACGUAUCACCCAAGACAACUUUACGGAGUUGACGAUUGACGGAGCGAAGCGACGUCAAAGCGUUCAUUAAAGUCGAGUUGGCUUAGGGAUACGUUCGUUGGGUAGGGGAGCGUUCUGUAAGCCUGUGAAGGUGGCCUGUGAGGGUUGCUGGAGGUAUCAGAAGUGCGAAUGCUGACAUAAGUAACGAUAAAGCGGGUGAAAAGCCCGCUCGCCGGAAGACCAAGGGUUCCUGUCCAACGUUAAUCGGGGCAGGGUGAGUCGACCCCUAAGGCGAGGCCGAAAGGCGUAGUCGAUGGGAAACGGGUUAAUAUUCCCGUACUUGGUGUUACUGCGAAGGGGGGACGGAGAAGGCUAUGUUGGCCGGGCGACGGUUGUCCCGGUUUAAGCGUGUAGGCUGGUUUUCCAGGCAAAUCCGGAAAAUCAAGGCUGAGGCGUGACGACGAGGCACUACGGUGCUGAAGCAACAAAUGCCCUGCUUCCAGGAAAAGCCUCUAAGCAUCAGGUAACAUCAAAUCGUACCCCAAACCGACACAGGUGGUCAGGUAGAGAAUACCAAGGCGCUUGAGAGAACUCGGGUGAAGGAACUAGGCAAAAUGGUGCCGUAACUUCGGGAGAAGGCACGCUGACACGUAGGUGAAGUGAUUUACUCAUGGAGCUGAAGUCAGUCGAAGAUACCAGCUGGCUGCAACUGUUUAUUAAAAACACAGCACUGUGCAAACACGAAAGUGGACGUAUACGGUGUGACGCCUGCCCGGUGCCGGAAGGUUAAUUGAUGGGGUCAGCGCAAGCGAAGCUCCUGAUCGAAGCCCCGGUAAACGGCGGCCGUAACUAUAACGGUCCUAAGGUAGCGAAAUUCCUUGUCGGGUAAGUUCCGACCUGCACGAAUGGCGUAAUGAUGGCCAGGCUGUCUCCACCCGAGACUCAGUGAAAUUGAACUCGCUGUGAAGAUGCAGUGUACCCGCGGCAAGACGGAAAGACCCCGUGAACCUUUACUAUAGCUUGACACUGAACAUUGAGCCUUGAUGUGUAGGAUAGGUGGGAGGCUUUGAAGCGUGGACGCCAGUCUGCGUGGAGCCGACCUUGAAAUACCACCCUUUAAUGUUUGAUGUUCUAACGUGGACCCGUAAUCCGGGUUGCGGACAGUGUCUGGUGGGUAGUUUGACUGGGGCGGUCUCCUCCUAAAGAGUAACGGAGGAGCACGAAGGUUGGCUAAUCCUGGUCGGACAUCAGGAGGUUAGUGCAAUGGCAUAAGCCAGCUUGACUGCGAGCGUGACGGCGCGAGCAGGUGCGAAAGCAGGUCAUAGUGAUCCGGUGGUUCUGAAUGGAAGGGCCAUCGCUCAACGGAUAAAAGGUACUCCGGGGAUAACAGGCUGAUACCGCCCAAGAGUUCAUAUCGACGGCGGUGUUUGGCACCUCGAUGUCGGCUCAUCACAUCCUGGGGCUGAAGUAGGUCCCAAGGGUAUGGCUGUUCGCCAUUUAAAGUGGUACGCGAGCUGGGUUUAGAACGUCGUGAGACAGUUCGGUCCCUAUCUGCCGUGGGCGCUGGAGAAUUGAGGGGGGCUGCUCCUAGUACGAGAGGACCGGAGUGGACGCAUCACUGGUGUUCGGGUUGUCAUGCCAAUGGCACUGCCCGGUAGCUAAAUGCGGAAAAGAUAAGUGCUGAAAGCAUCUAAGCACGAAACUUGCCCCGAGAUGAGUUCUCCCUGAGACUAUAAGUCUCCUGAAGGAACGUUGAAGACGACGACGUUGAUAGGUCGGGUGUGUAAGCGUAGCGAUACGUUGAGCUAACCGGUACUAAUGAACCGUGAGGCUUAACCUUACAACGCCGAAG